GUGCUUGCUUUGGGAGUACAUAUGAUAAAAUUGGAACGAUACAGAGCAGAUUAGCAUGGCCCCAAGCAAGGAUGACAUGCAAAUUCAUGAGGCAGUCCAUAAAAAA
rnacentral:snRNA from 1 species